rnacentral:tRNA from 1 species
GGAGAGGUGGCAGAGUGGUCGAUUGCGCCGGUCUUGAAAACCGGAGAGGGGCAACCCUCCGUGGGUUCGAAUCCCACCCUCUCCGCCA